GCAGCGCCAGGGUUAAUCCUGACGCAUCGAUUUAACGAGGAACAGACAUGGCCCGUAUAGCUGGCAUUAACAUUCCGCCG
rfam:Advenella mimigardefordensis DPN7, complete genome.